GGUGAACGCUGGCGGCGUGCUUAAGACAUGCAAGUCGAACGCAGUCUUCGGACUGAGUGGCGCACGGGUGAGUAACACGUAACUGACCUACCCCCAAGUCGCGGAUAACUGGCCGAAAGGUCAGCUAAUACGUGAUGUGAUGUCCCCUUUCUGGGGGGCCAUUAAAGGUUUACUGCUUGGGGAUGGGGUUGCGUUCCAUCAGCUAGUUGGCGGGGUAAAGGCCCACGAAGGCAACGACGGAUAGCCGGCCUGAGAGGGUGGCCGGCCACAGGGGAACUGAGACACGGGUCCCACUCCUACGGGAGGCAGCAGUUAGGAAUCUUCCACAAUGGGCGAAAGCCUGAUGGAGCGACGCCGCGUGAGGGAUGAAGGUUCUCGGAUCGUAAACCUCUGAAUCAGGGACGAAAGACGCGUAAGCGGGAUGACGGUACCUGAGUAAUAGCACCGGCUAACUCCGUGCCAGCCGCCGCAGUAA
rnacentral:rRNA from 1 species